ACCACGCCCUCGGGCAGUUUUGCCCACCGCCCGACCUCUUCCUCCACAUCCUCCCCGGCAGCCACCGCUGCCUCCGUCUGCACGCCGCCGGACCGCCGCGCCCACUCUCCAGGCGCUCGGCCACCCCGUCCACGCGCCGCCUGGUCCAGCCCCUCUCCUCCCCGUCCACGGGCCGCCGCGCCCAGCCGAGCCGCCCGGGCCGCCGGCACGCCGCCUGGUCCGCCCCUGCCCCGUCCACGUGCCGCCCGGGCCGCCCCCGCCCGUCCACGCGCCGCCCGGGCGAACCGUGAAAGUUCGUACUUUCUGUUAAUUGUUGAUCCGUAACUGCAUCGCUGACUCGCUGGGGUGGACAGCUACUCUGUCAUGUCUGGAUGAAUUGUUGCCAGCUGGGUCAUGGCCGUCGGGGUGCUAUUCAGGUCCAAUGGCUCGAUGUGGGGAUUCCGAAUUUACUUGCCGAGUUGAGUGCCAAGGAUUUGAACUUGUGAUGCAUUAAGGCAAGGAUCCAUAUUUUUCAUUUGUCAACCUUUCAUGUGUUAUUUCCAUAUUUUUGUUCUUGCAAUUUCCUCAUCCGGGUAAUAUGCUCCGAACCCAUCAGUUCUGGAAAUUAGAAAAUUUUCACCGCUUAGUACAAAAGCAUUUUUUAUGACUGAAUAUAAAGCAUGGUAGUUCUAGCUUCACCAGGCGGUUUGAGGUGUCAAUUUGUGUUUAGGUGUGCGGCUGUGUUAGAUUUGGUCUUUUGCUUUACUAUCAUCAAUGACUUUGUGUCACAUCGGCGGAGUUCGUCAUAUGGUUCCCCAGAUUUCUCUUUUAGUUGGCCAUGCCAUUGUGUCGUCAUGUCUAUUUAGUGUUUAUUAGUCUAGCUCUAUGCUAGAUGGAGAUCGGCGCAGCUGGUUGUGUCUGGUGUAGUCGGAAGUGGGCUGGUAUGCUUGAUUGUGUCCAUGCUGCCUUUUAAGUUUCAUUGCUUUUUUUAUUUUUGUCAACAAAAAAUGUGGAGCCGCACCUUAAUUGUCAUGGUGAUGUUGGAUAUACUGUUCUAUUAUUUGACAAGUCAGUGUGUGUAUAUCUGGCAAAGUGACAAUCACAGUAAACUAGGAAUCUUAGACGUAGAGUUUAAAGAAAAUUCAGAAGCACUGGAGGCUCAUGCUUCUACUAUCUUGUUUUAAGCUCCAGUCAGGAGUGGUGUUUCUAAAAUAGAGCUUAUUAAUUUUCACAUAUAUAGCAUGUGUUCGUAAUAGCAUUCCCGUCUCAUUCUUUCUUUUCUAUUUUGUCUAUCUAUAAAUUCUAGAGCUCCUGUUCAAGUUACUAAUCUUUUCAUAUGUUUUUAACCUUUUAUAACUAUGCAAAAAAGGUCCUCAUAAAGAAGAGCCGCAGGUUUCAGAAAUAAGAUGUUUAUAACCACGCAGACAAGGUUCUAAACUUCUGAUAAAGAAGACCCACAAGUUUCAGAAAUAAGUUUGACUAAUCUCUGGAUCGGCUGCAGCCUGGAGAUGAGAUUCUUUGGCUUUGGAGAUGGUUAUACGUUUGAUCAUCCAUCAGUGUGUUAUACUACAUCCAUAUAAGGUCUUGCAGUCAACUAUUCAGAUUAUUGACUGAGAACGAUAUUUUUAGGCCUACGGAAUCUGCAAAGGAUGCGCCAAACCAAGAUUAAUUAUGAUUUUUGUAAAUUGCAUGGGUUUACUUAUUUACCUGCUCCUUUGAUGAUUGUGAUUCAUUUGUGGAAAUAUGAGAGCUUUCUUCGAAUGUCCGGAAAAAUGGUUCAAGGCUUGUUUGGCUGAAACUGUAGAUUAGCAAGACUAACGUGUGUUGAGCAUGUCAGCCUAUGUGUGGGUAGGAGUGAAACUGUAGAUUAUGCUAGAGACGAGUUUCUAAAAAAAGUCCUGGAGACGAUGGCGCUGCUGCUGCUGCUCCUCUUGCAAUGGGCAAACUGGGGGCUGCAGUUCUAGGACUUCAAGGAGGAAAGGAAGACAUGGUUACUUCUUAAAGAGGCUUUCAUCUAAAGAGAAGCACAUCGAUGAAGAAAAACGAUGUGGUCAAAGGCAAUCUGUUUCAGAAGCAUUGAGCAGUCGCAUGGCAAGUACAAGGAACAUCAUCAGUACAGCAGGGAGGUUGAAACAAGAAGUUGAGGUGAUCAAUCAUGGUAAUAAAUUGUAGUGUCAUAUUCUUCUGAAUGAAUAGGUACCAUUCCCCACUGUUAAAAAAAUCUAAUAACUGAAUGGUGCUUUGUUUUUUUACCAUUCACAUUCCCCGCUGCGAAGAUGAUGAGCAUUUGUGUUUUUUAGAUGCCGCACCUCUGUUUUUGUUGACCUUUGAUUCAUGCAUAUAUGUAAAUUCUAUGAAAAUGUACCAUAGGAAAUGUGAAUUCAUAACUCUAUGGUUGAUGUAAUCUAUUGAUUUCGAUGUGGCUAUGUUAUGAGGAUUCUGAG